GUCUGAAAUCAGGAUGGCUCUUAAGAGCUUUCAAAAGAGGCUCUGCAGGUGCUAGCCAGGGAACCUAACAAGUUGCUUUUGCUUGCGUGUGUGCAUGUGGCAACUUUACCAGGCCCAGAAGGGAGGUGUUCACUUCAUUUGAUUUAGUAUCACUGGGAGCACCACUGGUGCACGCUAUCUCAAUUUAAUUUAGAAGUGUCAUUGUAAAACAGCAACAAAAAUAUUUUCAAACGGGUUUCCCCCAUAGUGCAGCAUUGAAACAGAGUUACUGUGAAUACAGAAGACUGUCUAUCCCACAGCAGGCAAUGCAAUUAAAGACUUCAGAGAAUGCCAGAUUUUUCAGAAUGCAUCAUAGAAUUUUCAAAGCUGUAAGAAAGAGGUGAGGAUGCUGAGAUGUAGAGAGACUGAUUUGCUCAAGAUAACAAAGAGUUUUAUUGAUUUGGGAACCCAUGGAAGGGGGUCAGCUGUGAGAUAUCACAUGAUCAGACUGACUGCCUGACCAGACUGACUGCCAUCCUGUUAAAGGAAUGAAUCACAGUUCAUCUCGCAGAUUUAUGGCAUGCCUACAGAAAAAGUACCUUAUGAUGCAAACCUGAAAGUUUAAAUAAUCUCCUGAAAGUUCCACAAUCAGCUGCAGAGAACUCCAGGAGCUGUUUUUAAAGAAGAUUAAGUUUUCAGCUUUCCUCCACUGUUUUGGGAAACGUCACCUUCUUAUCUUGGAAGAGUAAUCUCAAAAUUGAAGCAUCUUAGAUCCAACAAGAAUUAAAAGGAUGGGAAGUCCUUGCAGCCAUCCAAUAGAGUCAGAAGACUUUGGAUUUUGGAGUCUGUGAGAUUAUCUUACAGAGCAAGACUGCAGAUCAAGAUUUUCCAACGUGGUGCUGACUUUUUUGAGAACAGUUAAUGAGAACUAGGAAAGUCCUUGCAGACCAUCCAGUCCAGCGGCUUUCAAAUGGAAAAUGUGAAAGGACAACAGAAUCACAUGGAUUCUUUUCUGAACUGCUUUUUUCCAGUGAUGCCAUAUUCUAUAAGACUUCAUGUGAAGGUGUGGAGGACGGGUAAUGUCUGAAUCUUCCAGGCAAUGAGAGGGAUGGUGUGAGUCUGGAAAUUCUUUGUGAUGGUCUGAGACUCCCCUUACUCCAGUUAAGAACACUGACUUAAUUCGAUCUGGUUUUUUUUAACAAAUGGCCUCUGAGACGUAGAGCAGUGAGGAUAAGGACUCUUACCCGGUUACAGAGUGGAGUAAGGGCUAGAACUCAACUCUUAAAAAUUUCAAAUGCAAUGUUCUUUCUACAAUAUUGUGCCUACUUCUUCACUUCUGCUUAUAGGCAACUUCCUUUUCCUUUAAUUCUCUAAUAUUUGGAGGGCACGUCACAACUUAUACACUUGCUCUAUAUGUUUUACAUUGCUUCUCAUGGUUUCUCAUGCAUAAGUAUAGUAUUUUCUUAUAUUUUAAAUUUUCUAAGAACAGGUAACCUAUUUUAAACUCCCCUUGCAAUUAUGCAGGUAACUAACACAUUGAUGAUAAGCUAAUAUUAAGAGAGCAAAAUAGUUGAUGAUUAGUUUAUUAGUAUCUCAAAAUAAUCCAUUUGAUGUGCUAAGGUGCUAUUAGUUACAACAUUUCAAGUAUACAUGCAAUUCUUGUUAGAAAUAUUAUCCACCUUUUGAAAUACAUGUUGAUUAAAGACUAACAUGGGCUGUGGGCAUAGGUACAGUAACAGCAUACCAUAGGCCGGAGAAAGAGUUGACUUUGGAGGUCCAAGAUCAAGAAGCAGGAUGUCUAACAGGGCUCUUGAGAAUUCUAGGGCAGCCGGUACUCGAAAGGCAAGAUUUGAUUGUGAAUGAUUUCAUGCAACUCCGUUGGUUAAUAAGCAAAUCCUGCCCACACUUGUGGAUAACAUGGAAGCUACCUGAGCAGGUAAAGGCUAAGACAGAAGAUCCAUGAACAGAACUGGAGUUUUGAUAAUUCACCAGGAACUUGGUUACUUUGUUGUACCUUUUAUGCUUUUAUAUUUCUUCUUCCCUUUCAUUUCCAUGCAAUGUAUUUAUAACUUGUAGCUAGAUUUUUAGAUUACUGCCAGACAAAUUCAGUCAAUUUAAUUAAUUAGGCAAAUUAAAGUGAAAAUUAUGUUUUAGGGGCUGUUAAAAUUUAUAAGACAUUAGCACAUUCUUCUCAUGUGCUUUUAUUAUUAUUACAAAUGUUGUUUCAUAAUUAGCCAUGUGUUAAUUGUUAGCUUGGGGAAUGAUUUACGUGUUUAAAAUUGGGAGAAAUCAUUUUGGCUAUGGCUACCUCUUUUAAUUUACUUACAUAUUUUUUUCCCAUCACACAGUGUUUGACUUUUACAACCACAUACAUUUUGAUUAGAACCUGAAAUAAUUCAGUAAAACAAGAUGAUGGUU
rnacentral:lncRNA from 1 species